ACAUGCAGCCGAGCGGUAGAGAUUCUUCGGAAUCUUGAGAGCGGCGCACGGGUGCGGAUUAAGAGUGCAACCUGCCUUUAUCAGGGGAAUAGCCUUUCGAAAGGAAGAUUAAUGCCCCAUAAUAUAUUUUCUGGCAUCAGAAUAUAUUGAAAACUCCGGUGGAUAAAGAUGGGCACGCGCAGGAUUAGAUAGUUGGUAGGGUAACGGCCUACCAAGUCAACGAUCCUUAGGGGGCCUGAGAGGGUGAUCCCCCACACUGGUACUGAGACACGGACCAGACUCCUACGGGAGGCAGCAGUGAGGAAUAUUGGACAAUGGGUGAGAGCCUGAUCCAGCCAUCCCGCGUGAAGGACGACGGCCCUAUGGGUUGUAAACUUCUUUUGUACAGGGAUAAACCUUUCCACGUGUGGGAAGCUGAAGGUACUGUACGAAUAAGCACCGGCUAACUCCGUGCCAGCAGCCGCGGUAAUACGGAGGGUGCAAGCGUUAUCCGGAUUUAUUGGGUUUAAAGGGUCCGUAGGCGGACUCGUAAGUCAGUGGUGAAAUCUCACAGCUUAACUGUGAAACUGCCAUUGAUACUGCGGGUCUUGAGUGUUGUUGAAGUAGCUGGAAUAAGUAGUGUAGCGGUGAAAUGCAUAGAUAUUACUUAGAACACCAAUUGCGAAGGCAGGUUACUAAGCAACAACUGACGCUGAUGGACGAAAGCGUGGGGAGCGAACAGGAUUAGAUACCCUGGUAGUCCACGCCGUAAACGAUGCUAACUCGUUUUUGGGUCUUUAAGAUUCAGAGACUAAGCGAAAGUGAUAAGUUAGCCACCUGGGGAGUACGUUCGCAAGAAUGAAACUCAAAGGAAUUGACGGGGGCCCGCACAAGCGGUGGAUUAUGUGGUUUAAUUCGAUGAUACGCGAGGAACCUUACCAAGGCUUAAAUGGGAAUUGAUGGGUUUAGAAAUAGACCGUCCUUCGGGCAAUUUUCAAGGUGCUGCAUGGUUGUCGUCAGCUCGUGCCGUGAGGUGUUAGGUUAAGUCCUGCAACGAGCGCACCCCUGUCACUAGUUGCCAUCAUUCAGUUGGGGACUCUAGUGAGACUGCCUACGCAAGUAGAGAGGAAGGUGGGGAUGACGUCAAAUCAUCACGGCCCUUACGCCUUGGGCCACACACGUAAUACAAUGGGCCGGUAC
rnacentral:rRNA from 1 species